CCUACGGGAGACUGCAGUGGGGAAUAUUGCACAAUGGGGGAAACCCUGAUGCAGCGACGCCGCGUGAGGGAAGAAGUAUUUCGGUAUGUAAAGCUCUAUCAGCAGGGAAGAAAAUGACGGUACCUGAUUAAGAAGCCCCGGCUAACUACGUGCCAGCAGCCGCGGUCAUACGGAGGGGGCAAGCGUUAUCCGGAUUUACUGGGGGUAAAGGGAGCGUAGACGGCAGCGCAAGUCUGAAGUGAAAUGCCGGGGCUUAACCCCGGAACUGCUUUUGAAACUGUGCAGCUGGAGUGCAGGAGAGGUAAGUGGAAUUCCUGGUGUAGCGGUGAAAUGCGUAGAUAUUAGGAGGAACACCAGUGGCGAAGGCGGCUUACUGGACUGUAACUGACGUUGAGGCGCGAAAGCGUGGGUAGCAAACAGGAUUAGAUACCCGAGGAGUC
rnacentral:rRNA from 1 species